rnacentral:tRNA from 1 species
GGGACAGCAGCACAACGGAUAACGCGCCUGACUACGGAUCAUGAGAUUCCCUGUUCGAAUCCUGGCUGUCUCG